GAGUGAACGCUGGCGGUAGGCCUAACACGUGCAAGUCGAACGGCAGCACAGUAAGAGCUUGCUCUUACGGGUGGCGAGUGGCGGACGGGUGAGGAAUACAUCGGAAUCUACUUUUUCGUGGGGGAUAACGUAGGGAAACUUACGCUAAUACCGCAUACGACCUACGGGUGAAAGCAGGGGAUCUUCGGACCUUGCGCGAUUGAAUGAGCCGAUGUCGGAUUAGCUAGUUGGCGGGGUAAAGGCCCACCAAGGCGACGAUCCGUAGCUGGUCUGGGAGGAUGAUCAGCCACACUGGAACUGAGACACGGUCCAGACUCCUACGGGAGGCAGCAGUGGGGAAUAUUGGACAAAGGGCGCAAGCCUGAUCCAGCCAUACCGCGUGGGUGAAGAAGGCCUUCGGGUUGUAAAGCCCUUUUGUUGGGAAAGAAAAGCAGCAGGUUAAUACCCCGCUGUUCUGACGGUACCCAAAGAAUAAGCACCGGCUAACUUCGUG
rnacentral:rRNA from 1 species